GACGAACGCUGGCGGCGUGCUUAACACAUGCAAGUCGAACGGAAAGGCCCUGCUUUUGUGGGGUGCUCGAGUGGCGAACGGGUGAGUAACACGUGAGUAACCUGCCCUUGACUUUGGGAUAACUUCAGGAAACUGGGGCUAAUACCGGAUAGGAGCUCCUGCUGCAUGGUGGGGGUUGGAAAGUUUCGGCGGUUGGGGAUGGACUCGCGGCUUAUCAGCUUGUUAGUGGGGUAGUGGCUUACCAAGGCUUUGACGGGUAGCCGGCCUGAGAGGGUGACCGGCCACAUUGGGACUGAGAUACGGCCCAGACUCCUACGGGAGGCAGCAGUGGGGAAUAUUGCACAAUGGGCGGAAGCCUGAUGAAGCAACGCCGCGUGCGGGAUGACGGCCUUCGGGUUGUAAACCGCUUUCGCCUGUGACGAAGCGUGAGUGACGGUAAUGGGUAAAGAAGCACCGGCUAACUACGUG
rnacentral:rRNA from 1 species